GACGCGGUGGCUCACGCCUGUAAUCCUAGCACUUUGGGAGGCCGAGGCGGGCGCGUCAUUUGAGGUCAGGAGUUUGAGACCAGCCUGGCCAGCAUGGUGAAACUCUGUCUCUAUUAAAAAUACAAAAAUUAGUCGGAAAUCGCUGGAACCCGGGAAGCGGAGGUUGCAGUGAGCCGAGAUCGUGCCACUGCACUCCAGCCUGGGAAACAGAGCGAGACUCCGUCUAAAAAAAAAAAAAAAAAAAUUAGUUGGGCAUAGUGGCCUGUGCCUGUAGUCCUAGCUACUCGCGAGGCUAAGAGGGGCGUAUGGGUUGAGCCUAGAUGGAGCCAGUGCACUGCAGCCUGGGUGACAGAGGGAGAUUCUGUUUCUAAAAAACAUUAAAAAGAGUAACAGGAAGUUUCACCUGGGCCGGGGUUGGAAUGUUUAUCUAGUUUAGCAGCGAAGUUCUAAGAUAAGGUCUGAAAUACAAUUUACAUCUUGUAAAGACUCCACUCCCCUCGCCCAAGCACUAGUUGUAAAAGUUGAUUUGAUCACAAAGUGACCCUGCGUGGUUGUUUUGGGAGCGCAGAGGCUGGAAGCGAAGGAGGUGGGGGCGUUUCGAGAGCUGUGGACCAGGUGACUGCUGAGAAGGAGACAGUAAGCCGGGGACACAACUGAGGAAGAGCUCUCCAGGGAUUAGGAAAGGCUACGUCCUUGUCACUGCUGUGUGUCCCCAGAUGGACAACUCCUCAAUUGUCUGGAGGUCGGGGGCGUGUUGGACAGUCCUGGUCGCUGAGUCAUGCUGAAACACUCUCGUUUUGACUCACUCUUUGUGACGUAGGUCUUUCUCGCCAGUCAAGAAAAUAUAAUCCGAAAGCAAUCUCCGGGCUGGCUUUAGCUCAGCGGUUACUUCGACCAUUCUUUGAUUGCAACAACAACCUCUCUCGGUUGUUCGAGACCCGGGGGCGCUCUCCAGUCCUUUUACCUCUCUGGGCGGUUCGAGACCCGCGGGAGCUCUCUGGGCGGUUCGAGACCCGCGGGAGCUCUCCAGUCCUUUCACCUCUCUGGGUGGUUCGAGACCCGCGGGCGCUCUCCAGUCCUUUUCACUGCUGAAGUUCAGCUCCCUUUCCAUGGUAAAAGGAACCAGGGCUCCUUGGAGAAACGGCUGAUUUUAGUACUGGGCAGGAAAUGUAGAAAUGAACGUGGAGCAUCUCGUAGAGCUAGAAAGUACGAACCAGGCCCGACCCUACUUAGCUUCCGAGAUCAGACGAGACCAGGCAUGUUCAGGAUGAUGGAGUUUUGCUGUUGUUGCCCAGGCUGGAGUGCAGUGGUGGGAUCUCGGCUCACUGCAACCUCUGCCUCCAGGGUUCAAGUGAUUCUCCUGCCUCAGCCUCCUGAGUAGCUGGGAUUACAGACUUGGAACUGAAGAAGCUGGCAAUCUGGAAAUGCCAAUGGAUGCAGAUUUUAAAAGCCCCAGCAAAAGUCUGCUUUCUCUAUUCAUUAGGACCAGGAUCAGGAAGAGGACAGCUUAGCAAGACAUAAAAUUCUUAGACAAUAACUGUUCUACCCCAGCCAAACACCAAACACACACACACACACACACACACACACACUCCAACAACUAUGGCCCCACCCAUUUCAGCAAAGGCUGAGUAGGAGCCUAGACUUCCACCAUUGAGCAGCUAUAAGAAGUUACCCCAAGACCCCACCAAUGUGGUGUUAAAGAAGGCCAAAUAGGGGACAAGAUUUUUAUCCAUGCUGACCAGUUAUGAGGUUCCCCCUUUCCCCUGUGAAAUAAAAAUAAAGCCCAUAGAUCCCCAGGCAAGAUGAAAUGGACUCCUUGUUGCAAAAGAGACCCCAGAAAACUUUAAAAGCUGGAUUCUAUGGCUUUGGCAAG